rnacentral:rRNA from 1 species
UAGGGAAUAUUGCGCAAUGGAGGAAACUCUGACGCAGCGACGCCGCGUGGGUGAUGAAGGUUUUCGGAUCGUAAAGCCCUGUCGGAAGAGACGAAAAAUUAGGCAGCUAACAUCUGCUUAACUUGACGGUAUCUUCAAAGGAAGCACCGGCUAACUACGUGCCAGCAGCCGCGGUAAUACGUAGGGUGCUAGCGUUGUUCGGAAUCAUUGGGCGUAAAGCGCGUGUAGGUGGCUAGUUAAGUCGAGUGUGAAAUCCCUGGGCUCAACCGAGGAAGUGCAUUCGAAACUAACUAGCUCGAGAAUGGUAGAGGAUGGUGGAAUUCCGUGUGUAGAGGUGAAAUUCGUAGAUAUACGGAGGAAUACCGGUGGCGAAGGCGGCCAUCUGGACCAUUUCUGACACUGAGACGCGAAAGCGUGGGGAGCAAACAG